rnacentral:tRNA from 1 species
GUCCCUGUAGCGUAAUGAAUAGCGCGUUGGACUUCUAAUUCAAAGGUCAUGGGUUCGAAUUCCAUCUGGAAUG